CCUACGGGGGGCAGCAGUGGGGGAUAUUGCACAAUGGGGGGAACCCUGAUGCAGCGACGCCGCGUGGGUGAAGGAGUGCUUCGGCAUGUAAAGCCCUAUCGGCAGGGAAGAAGCAAGACGGUACCUGACUAAGAAGCCCCGGCUAACUACGUGCCAGCAGCCGCGGUAAUACGUAGGGGGCGAGCGUUAUCCGGAUUCACUGGGUGGAAAGGGAGCGUAGACGGCCAUGCAAGCCAGGGGUGAAAGCCCGGGGCCCAACCCCGGGACUGCCCUUGGAACUGCGUGGCUGGAGCGCGGGAGGAGCAGGCGGAAUGCCUGGUGUAGCGGUGAAAUGCGUAGAUAUCAGGAGGAACACCAGUGGCGAAGGCGGCCUGCUGGGCUUUUACUGACGCUGAGGCUCGAAAGUGUGGGGAGCGAACAGGAUUAGAUACCCUUGUAGUC
rnacentral:rRNA from 1 species